AGACUAAAGUAAUUGAUGGUGACACAGGCAGGUAGAAAUUUCUCCUUCACUACUGAUCAAGAGACUCAGAGCCUUAGAAUUUUAAUAGGUCGACAAUACUGCAUUAUUUAAGGAUAAAUUACAUUUUACCACCUGUAUUAGGCCCAAAAACACAUUCCCCCUUAUGGUUCCAUCUCCUGUGGUUUGGUCCUAAAGUGCAACACAACAACUACAUAAUUGUAAACUUUUAACACACCUUUUUAAGUGAUAAGUAUAUUUGAAGAUGAAAGAAAAGUGAACCUCUUGUGUAUAAAAAGUUCCUCUCAUUAAGUAUGAAUUACUAAGAGAAACCAUGAAAAUGGAGACAUUAUUAUGACAACUUACAAAAAUUUGUAUACGAUUUAUCUGAAUCCAUAAUAGUACUUCAUUUUCGCGAACAAAAAAUUAAAUCAAUAAAUGAACAUCGGAGCACGCCUUCAAUCCACCAUGUUAACAAUAUAAAGAAGGCCCAAAAAGAAUAAGAAAAAGGAAAGAGUAAGCUUAAGCUCUUAAAGUUCCUUUAAAAAGUAAUUUUAUUAUUUGUAGGGGCCAUUGCUUGGUGCAGUAAAAAAAUAUGGUUGGGCUGUCAAAAAUGAGAAUGCGGGUUUGAGUAUGGUAGUAGCAGCAACUUUGUACUUAUUAUGUAGUGGGUUGAUCCAGGCUUCAAUUCACUUAUGUGGUAAAUAUUCAAAGAAUAUGAAGUUGUUGUUGCAGCUAAUCAAAAAAAUGAAACUGCUGUUGCAACCUAUCAUUGCAAGAACUGCAAAACUGGAAAAAGAGAUGCAACACCUUGCUACAUCGAGUAUCAUGAUAAUUUUCGUAGACUACAAUGAAACCCCAGGAUUUAAUAGUUUCUAUAGUUCUUUGUGUUAGUUCAUCCAUUCAUUUUUAGUCUCUUAUUUAUUGAAUAUUUUAGUUGUUGUAAUGUCUACAUCUGCUUGUAUACGCCAUGAUCUAUUGUUUAUACAUUUAUUCAUGGGUUAAUUUCCUGUGUUUUUAGCCAAAAUUUUCGUGUGAAAAUAUUGUAAUAAAUUACGAAGAAAACCUAAGAUAUGAUCCUUUCCAUUAGGUAUUAUGAGAUGUUAUCUUAUAUUUUAAAUUCAUUCAUUAUUGUGCUGAAUUUAGAAAUUAUAAAUUUUGAAGAAUUCUUAGAACAUUGAGGCUUUUCAAUAGGUACCAUGAUAUGUCUGAUGUUUAAAAUUUAUUUACAGAUAUUGUGCCGAAUUGGGAAAUAUUCAAUUACUUACAAAAUGAUCACCUCCUAGUUUGAAUCAUUUGCCUCUUUCAAUUCUUGAAUUCUUGUUAAUCAUUUAAAAAAUUCCUUGUCAUUACUGGUUUUUGUCUCUGUUUCCUGCUUCCAUCUAAUACAAGCUCUCUUUCUGUGCUUGCACGUGUGUAUGUAACAGUGUGCACAAAUGUUUGAAUUUCUUCUCAGACAUGUUGUUGCUUUGAGUUAAAAACUAUCUAGUUGAUGGUUAAUGUUAAUUCUCUUCCCUAUUUCGCAGCAUUGUGGAGAAGGGGACUGGCCUCUGGAAGUGGGGUGAAGUGCGCAUCAUCAGCGUGCUUGGUGUUCUAUGAGAGGCAGAUAAGUUCAGAAGCUCUUUCUACUUUGUAUCCAACAUGCAUAUUGAGAGGUUCUGAUCUAUGAUGUUGCUCCCACUCAUCUUAUUAGAAAAUGAAUUGACAAACACAUUUGGCUUUCCCUCUCCAUUGUUUUAAGACGGGUUCUGGCAUGGUGUAAUUGUCAUCUGUGUUCUAUAACCUGAUGUUUCCCAUUUUGUACAAAGUUUUACUGGAACUAUCUGGUUGAAAAACUGAAGCUUGAGAACUCCAUUUUUAUGGCAGGAUGUGAAGGGCCCUCAAACUGUUGCAUUCAACCUUCCAAAUGAUGAGCGUAUAGUGAAAGAUCGGGGAACAUCCAUGGUCAUCCAGGAGUGAUGGUAACAAUACUAAGGGCUUCUGUUAUUUCUCAACAUGCAGGAUAAGGUUUCCAUAUCCAUGGCAAUGGGGGACUCCCACUGUAAAUGCUAUGGAUGCUUUUAUAAUGAUGGCUGCAGUUAUGAUUGCUCUUGUUGAGCUUGAUUUAUUCUAGUGAAUUUUUCAAGUCUUUUGAUUUUAUAUAUAGCUGGUGUAUAGAUGUCACCGGUAGCUCAUAUCAUUAUUGGUUUUGUAUGAAAUUAUUAUUUGAAGUUGGAAUAUACUUGGUUUUUAUGCAAUGUUGACAUUAAAAGUUA